GACGUAGGGCGCGAGCGUUGUCCGGAAUUACUGGGCGUAAAGAGCUCGUAGGUGGUUUGUCGCGUUGUUCGUGAAAACUCACAGCUUAACUGUGGGCGUGCGGGCGAUACGGGCAGACUGGAGUACUGCAGGGGAGACUGGAAUUCCUGGUGUAGCGGUGGAAUGCGCAGAUAUCAGGAGGAACACCGGUGGCGAAGGCGGCGAUCUGGGAAGAUACUGACGCUGAGGUGCGAAAGCGUGGGGAGCAAACAGG
rnacentral:rRNA from 1 species